rnacentral:SRP_RNA from 1 species
AAUUCAGUUCCAUGCGGCGGUGUCCUGCGAACCCCGCCAGGCCCGGAAGGGAGCAACGGUAAGCAGUGAACAUCGGGCGCCAUGGAUAAGCUGGGUUUUGU